rnacentral:lncRNA from 1 species
CUCCCCCACUCUCUGUUUCCCUUUCUUUUUUUGUCCCCUCUCUCCAGGGCUCCUGAUUUCUCUUCAGCCUGACGCUCUUUUCAGUUAACGGCAAGGCGGUGCACCCAAGUCCGGUGGUGUCCUACCUGGUGACCUCCUACCUGUGCUGGGACGCCAGCGACUUGAUGCUGCACUCCGCCAUCUCCCAGGAGCCGUGUCCUACCUAAGCCCAGUGGGCAUGUGAAGCAGAGGGCAGCCCUUGAAUGCGCGGCGGCUGAGCUACCGCGGGUGGGCCGUGCAGCAGGGCGCAGCGAGGCGGACAUCCAAACAGCGGAACUCAGACGCUGACUCCGAGCGCACCCCGGGCCUUCCCAUUUCAUACACCCUCGAGGAUGAGACCCAAGCACCUCCAAGGAAUAGCACCCGAGGUCUUCAGGACACCGACCGGUAGCCAUGGCCAGAUGCCCGGCCAACCCCUUCAGCGUGGCCACGCCCUGGAUAUUCGACCUCCCCUGAGGCCCCACCCCCUGAUAUCAGGCCACGCCCUCCGAGGGGACCGGUGGCAAACUCCAGCCCUCGCUCUAGGGCCCGCCCUUUGCGGCUUUGUCCCUGCCCACUGGGUCCUCACAGUACCUCCACCCCAGAGGCCCAGCAUCCCCUCCCGUUCUGCAGACACUUGUCCAGCGUCCCGCUGAGCUCGGCAGUGUGGCUAGUUUGUGUGGCCCUGCCCCUGGUGCCCAGCCAGGGUGGUCUGCAUGGAACUUCUUUCCCGGAGUUCCGGCCUCAGCUCCGAUGUCCACCCUUGUCCCCAGGUGGACACAGCACCGCCCAGCAUUUGGUGCAACUCCACCCUUCUGCAGAACGGGCCCCUCCCUGGGAAGGCAUGGCUUGCAAUAACAUCCCUCUGUACCUUUUCUGGCUUCCCCGCCACAAUAAAACCUCUCAGCCUCAGACCUUCCAUUGCCCCCCACCUCCCCACCAGGGCAGGGUCCAUCCUAGUGUGAGUGAACUGUUCUGGCGUCCCUGACUUGCCCUUUGGGA